AACGAACGCUGGCGGCAUGCCUAACACAUGCAAGUCGAACGAAGCCUUCGGGCUUAGUGGCGCACGGGUGCGUAACGCGUGGGAAUCUGCCCUUUGGUUCGGAAUAACAGUUGGAAACGACUGCUAAUACCGGAUGAUGACGAAAGUCCAAAGAUUUAUCGCCAGAGGAUGAGCCCGCGUAGGAUUAGCUAGUUGGUGUGGUAAAGGCGCACCAAGGCGACGAUCCUUAGCUGGUCUGAGAGGAUGAUCAGCCACACUGGGACUGAGACACGGCCCAGACUCCUACGGGAGGCAGCAGUGGGGAAUAUUGGACAAUGGGCGAAAGCCUGAUCCAGCAAUGCCGCGUGAGUGAUGAAGGCCCUAGGGUUGUAAAGCUCUUUUACCCGGGAUGAUAAUGACAGUACCGGGAGAAUAAGCCCCGGCUAACUCCGUGCCAGCCGCCGCCGUAA
rnacentral:rRNA from 1 species